rnacentral:rRNA from 1 species
AUUGAACGCCGGCGGCAGGCCUAACACAUGCAAGUCGAGCGGUAGCACAGAGAGCUUGCUCUCGGGUGACGAGCGGCGGACGGGUGAGUAAUGUCUGGGAAACUGCCUGAUGGAGGGGGAUAACUACUGGAAACGGUAGCUAAUACCGCAUAACGUCGCAAGACCAAAGUGGGGGACCUUCGGGCCUCAUGCCAUCAGAUGUGCCCAGAUGGGAUUAGCUGGUAGGUGGGGUAACGGCUCACCUAGGCGACGAUCCCUAGCUGGUCUGAGAGGAUGACCAGCCACACUGGAACUGAGACACGGUCCAGACUCCUACGGGAGGCAGCAGUGGGGAAUAUUGCACAAUGGGCGCAAGCCUGAUGCAGCCAUGCCGCGUGUGUGAAGAAGGCCUUCGGGUUGUAAAGCACUUUCAGCGGGGAGGAAGGCGGUGAGGUUAAUAACCUCAUCGAUUGACGUUACCCGCAGAAGAAGCACCGGCUAACUCCGUGCCAGCAGCCGCGGUAAUACGGAGGGUGCAAGCGUUAAUCGGAAUUACUGGGCGUAAAGCGCACGCAGGCGGUCUGUCAAGUCGGAUGUGAAAUCCCCGGGCUCAACCUGGGAACUGCAUUCGAAACUGGCAGGCUAGAGUCUUGUAGAGGGGGGUAGAAUUCCAGGUGUAGCGGUGAAAUGCGUAGAGAUCUGGAGGAAUACCGGUGGCGAAGGCGGCCCCCUGGACAAAGACUGACGCUCAGGUGCGAAAGCGUGGGGAGCAAACAGGAUUAGAUACCCUGGUAGUCCACGCUGUAAACGAUGUCGAUUUGGAGGUUGUGCCCUUGAGGCGUGGCUUCCGGAGCUAACGCGUUAAAUCGACCGCCUGGGGAGUACGGCCGCAAGGUUAAAACUCAAAUGAAUUGACGGGGGCCCGCACAAGCGGUGGAGCAUGUGGUUUAAUUCGAUGCAACGCGAAGAACCUUACCUGGUCUUGACAUCCACAGAACUUAGCAGAGAUGCUUUGGUGCCUUCGGGAACUGUGAGACAGGUGCUGCAUGGCUGUCGUCAGCUCGUGUUGUGAAAUGUUGGGUUAAGUCCCGCAACGAGCGCAACCCUUAUCCUUUGUUGCCAGCGGUUAGGCCGGGAACUCAAAGGAGACUGCCAGUGAUAAACUGGAGGAAGGUGGGGAUGACGUCAAGUCAUCAUGGCCCUUACGACCAGGGCUACACACGUGCUACAAUGGCAUAUACAAAGAGAAGCGACCUCGCGAGAGCAAGCGGACCUCAUAAAGUAUGUCGUAGUCCGGAUUGGAGUCUGCAACUCGACUCCACGAAGUCGGAAUCGCUAGUAAUCGUGGAUCAGAAUGCCACGGUGAAUACGUUCCCGGGCCUUGUACACACCGCCCGUCACACCAUGGGAGUGGGUUGCAAAAGAAGUAGGUAGCUUAACCUUCGGGAGGGCGCUUACCACUUUGUGAUUCAUGACUGGGGUGA